rnacentral:rRNA from 1 species
CAACUUUUAACAACGGAUCUCUAGGCUCUCGUAUCGAUGAAGAACGUAGCAAAUUGCGAUAACUAUUGUGAAUUGCAUUUCGUGAAUCAUCAAGUUUUUGAACGCAUCUUGCACUCUGUGGUAUUCCGCAGAGUACACUUGUUUCAG